GGCGAACGGGUGAGUAACGCGUUGAUGACCUGCCCCAAAGUGUGGAAUAACAGUCCGAAAGGAUUGCUAAUACCGCAUGUGGUUGUCGGAUUUAGAAACUGACAUCUAAAGGAGUAAUCCGCUUUGGGAGGGAUCUGCGUCCCAUCAGCUAGUUGGUGAGGUAACGGCUCACCAAGGCGACGACGGGUAGGGGACCUGAGAGGGUGGCCCCCCACAAUGGAACUGAAACACGGUCCAUACACCUACGGGUGGCAGCAGUAGGGAAUAUUGCUCAAUGGGCGAAAGCCUGAAGCAGCAACGCCGCGUGUGCGAUGAAGGCCCUCGGGUCGUAAAGCACUUUUCUGAGAGAUGAGAAAGGACAGUAUCUCAGGAAUAAGUCUCGGCUAACUACGUGCCAGCAGCCGCGGUAAAACGUAGGAGGCGAGCGUUAUCCGGAUUCACUGGGCGU
rnacentral:rRNA from 1 species